rnacentral:rRNA from 1 species
UACGAAGGGGGCUAGCGUUGUUCGGAAUGACUGGGCGUAAAGGGCGCGUAGGCGGCGAUGUAAGUCAGGCGUGAAAGCCCCGGGCUCAACCUGGGAACGGCGCUUGAUACUGCGUUGCUUGAGGACGGGAGAGGAUGGUGGAAUUCCCAGUGUAGAGGUGAAAUUCGUAGAUAUUGGGAAGAACACCGGUGGCGAAGGCGGCCAUCUGGACCGUUUCUGACGCUGAGGCGCGAAAGCGUGGGGAGCAAACGGGG